rnacentral:rRNA from 1 species
GACGAACGCUGGCGGCGUGCUUAACACAUGCAAGUCGAACGGUGACCCAGGGCUUGCCCUGGUGAUCAGUGGCGAACGGGUGAGUAACACGUGGGCAACCUGCCCCUGACUUCGGGAUAACUCCUCGAAGAGGAGCUAAUACCGGAUACGACCACUUCGGACAUCCGAUGGUGGUGGAAAGUUUUUCGGGUCAGGGGAUGGGCCCGCGGCCUAUCAGCUAGUUGGUGGGGUAAUGGCCUACCAAGGCGACGACGGGUAGCCGGCCUGAGAGGGCGACCGGCCACACUGGGACUGAGACACGGGCCCAGACUCCUACGGGAGGCAGCAGUGGGGAAUAUUGCGCAAUGGGCGAAAGCCUGACGCAGCGACGCCGCG